UCAGGGAGGGAAAUUAUUUAGAAAGAGUAGUCCUGUUAGCCUACUACCCACAAGCGUAUCACCCAAUAGGGAGGAGGGAAUAAAAAAGACAGUAUUUAAAGCAUCAACCAUAUGUUUAAAGAGAAGGCUCCUUUUUAAACCCUUACAUUACAAUGACACCUUGCAAGCAACACAUCCCCUAUAGUUAUCCUAACCAGCAUUAAGUGGGUGACUGGAACAAAAUAGGAUGUUAUAGGUGAUGAAGAAGAAUGAAACCAAGAGGUUGGGAGGAGAAACAACUCACAACUCCAGGCUACAGGUGCAGGAGACGUAUGGUAGAUCACGUAAGAUCCCUAUCGGACAAAGUCCCUAUGAUAAAACUUGGUGCAAGAGUUACAGGAACCGUCACAGGCCAGGCCCCUGUGUUUCUGCCUUGCCCUCAUUAAUGCAAAAAAAAAAA